ensembl:lncRNA
GUUAUUUCUAAGAAAUAAAACCUGAUAACUUGUUUCUUUUAUGUUUAUUUCUGUGCAUUCCUGAAAUAAUUAAUUGGAAGGUUAAAAAUUAUAAUAAUGCCUAAAAACUUUGGCAUCCAUUAAAAUAAUCAAAAUUUUUAUUUAUUUGGUUUACUAACAUGUUUCCCUUUUUUUUUUUUUUUUUUUGGGACCAGGGAUUGAACUUGAGUCCUUGUGCUUGCGCAGCAGGUGGCGAAACCACUCCCUUUUUCUUUUUUGAUUGCCACAGGAUCUGGGCCUCACUACCGUGUGGGAAGAUCAGCUUUCUUAUCUUUUGUCGCCAGCCCUGGCCUCCUAUGAAUUUGAGCGCACAACGAGCAUAUCUGCAGGAAAUGAGGAGUUUCAGGACGCCAUCAGGAGGGCUGUGCCUGACGGGCACACAUUUAAGGGCUUCCCCAUCCACUUCGUGUACAGAAAUGCAAGGCGUGCAUUUGCCACGUGUCUUCGGUCCCCGUUUUGUGAAGAAAUAAUCUGUUGCCGUGGAGACCAAGUGCACUGGCAGUGCGUGUCCAGUGUUCACUUACCCUGAGUCGGCCUGUGCUGUUUGGAUCAUGUUUGCUUAUGAGUCAUUGUGUGAGGCCCCUGGGAAGAGCGUGAGCGGCUCCACGCCUGCUUACUUCACACUUGAGCAAGUUUAAAGCGUUCAUUUUAAGGGGGAGCAAAGGGAGCAUUGAAAACAGUCACAGUUCAGCUGGGAGAAGCUGUGGACUAGGUGGCGGGCUUGGCUGUCCACGUGGUGUGUGUGGUGUCUCCGCAGUGUCUGGGAACGGAGCCUGCCCUGGGCAGGUGUGGUGCCUCUGAGCAGCACCCCGGGCACCGCAGUUUUAAUUUGGCCGUUUGCCUGUCAGUCUUCCUGAGCAAAUGAGGUCUUCCUUUCAUUACUUUAAUUCACUACUGCAGAGGGUGGUUUUGAUUUUAAAAAUUAAAAAUAUCUGGGGCCAGGGAUGUAGCUCAGUGGUUCUGCUGCCUGCCUUGCAAGCACAAGGACCCAAGUUCGAUCCCUGGUACCAAAAAAACAAACAAACUAGAAAUAUCUUAAAAUAUUCUUUUAUGCAUAUAUAUAUAUAUAUAUAUAUAAUGAAUAUGAUUUAGCUUGUUUUAAAAGUCUAAUACAUUACUCAUAUUGAUUUUCGUUGAAAAUGGUACUCAGAUGUUUCUUAUAGACUGACAUUAGAGAAUUCAUAAAUAAGAAUGAAGACAUCUUAUCUGUUGCCAGAAUUACACAUAAAGCUAUCAACAGAUAAAACUGCUUGUAACUUCCAACUUGAGACAGACUGUAAAGCGCCCCACGAAGAGGCAGGCUGUGUUGGGACAGUCUUUCUUUUUUUCCAGUCCCACAUGACACAUGUAUUUCAAAUGUGCUUUGGGUAUAAAUGUUCAAAUAAACUCACUUCUUACUUGCUUCAGUAGUCUUGCAUCACUGUUUCCCUUUAAGAGGUUCACUUCAUACGACUACUUCACUGAGUGAUCACUAGGAUUCGCUAACAAUAACUUUUUUUGUUUUUGGUACUGGGGAUUGAACUCGGGUCCUUGCGCUUGCGCAGCAAGCGGCAAAACCACUGAGCUAAAUCCCCGCCCCCACUAACAAUAACUUUUUAGAAUUAAAUUUACCAUGUAUGUUUAGCCGUCAUAGUUCUUUCUAUUAAAAUGUAAACAUUUUUAUAUAAUGUCUCCAGUGUGUUCUUGCUUUGAUGAUUUGUAGAUACAAUCCUCUGUGAUGCAUAUUUUAUAUACAUGUAUUGAUUUAGAAGAUGUGGCUCAGUGGUAGAGUGCUUGCAGAGCAUGUCAAGGUCCCUCGGUUCAAUUCCCAGAAGGACCAGAAUAAACACACUUUGAUUAGUAGAAAAAUAUUAGAAACUUAUUUCAUUACUCAAGCAUGAACCUAUUGAAUAAAACAUUCAGUUCCAACUAACUUCAGAGUCUUUCUAGUAGCUAGCUAGGUGUACAUCUUUAGAUAUGAUCUGCAGAAUCAUUUGUAACCUGGCAGUAUUGGAAAGUACAAACAUUUGAGGCUCAUUUUUCUACUGCUUAACCACGCUUGAGCCAAAGUACAGGCUGUGUAUUUGAAGAGAGUAUUGUUCAUAAAAGUAGUACUCUGUGCUAUAUAUCUGAUGAUCAGAAAGUAGUAAGCUCAUUCAU